ensembl:lncRNA
AAUGUCCUGGCAAACAGCGAGCUACCGUAUAGGCUACCGUAUAGGCUACCGUAUAGGCUACCGUAUAGGCUUCAGUAUAGGCUACAGUAUAGGCUACAGUAUAGGCUACCGUAUAGGCUACCGUAUAGGCUACAGUAUAGGCUACAGUAUAGGCUACCGUAUAGGCUACCGUAUAGGCUUCAGUAUAGGCUUCAGUAUAAACACAACAGAUACCAACAACAGAUCAACAGUAUUUCUUACUCAAUUUCAAAACAUCAGCUCUCACUCUCCGGUCACAAACUCACCCAGUCAGAUAGCGAGUACUGGGUAAUUGAGAGCCGAAGCGGGGCUUGAACCAGCGAGUCAGUGCUGGUAAAAACGUCCCCUAGUCAUAGCCUGGAGGGUGAAUGAAUGUAAAGCACUUUACCUUGACUGCAUAUUAUGAGUUACUGUCGCGUCCCCUGUCACCCCCACGCCGGCGCUCAUCCUCCAGCCACAGCCACGGACACAGGUAACAUCCACAUUACAUUAAGUAAAAACAACCGACACACAUAUCCCCAACCAAGUCCAACAGUCAAAAAGGAAAUGUUAAAAAAUUAAAGAACGUUCAUUUGGAUAUAUUUCGUCCAUGGAGUUCGGUUACUUGUGACUAAAAGAGAGAGUCAAUAACUCAUUGUAAAGGUUUGUUUGUGAUCAAGGUCCGUUAAAUGUUUGUUUUUUUAUCUUGUCCCAGGAGCGAGACGCACGGAGUUGUACGCGUCGGACGGUUUCCGG